UACGUAGGGUGCGAGCGUUAAUCGGAAUUACUGGGCGUAAAGCGUGCGCAGGCGGUUUUGUAAGCCAGAUGUGAAAUCCCCGGGCUCAACCUGGGAAUGGCAUUUGGGACUGCAAGGCUCGAGUGCGGCAGAGGAGACUGGAAUUCCUGGUGUAGCAGUGAAAUGCGUAGAUAUGCGGAGGAACACCGAUGGCGAAGGCAAUCCCCUGGGCCUGCACUGACGCUCAUGCACGAAAGCGUGGGGAGCAAACAGG
rnacentral:rRNA from 1 species